CCGACAAGCGGUGGAUGAUGUGGUAUUAAUUCGAUGCAACGACGAAAACCUUACCUACCCUUGACAUGUCUGGAACCUUGCUGAGAGGCGAGGGUGCCUUCGGAGCCAGAACACAGGUGCUGCAUGGCUGUCGUCAGCUCGUGUCGUGAGAUGUUGGGUUAAGUCCCGCAACGAGCGCAACCCUUGUCACUAGUUGCCAUCAUUUGGUUGGGCACUCUAGUGAGACUGCCGGUGACAAACCGGAGGAAGGUGGGAUGACGUCAAGUCCUCAUGGCCUUUAUGUCUAGGGCUACACACGUACUACAAUGGCAGGUACAAAGGGCAGCGACACAGCGAUGUGAUGCGAAUCCCGAAAAGCCUGUCUCAGUCCGGAUCGGAGUCUGCAACUCGACUCCGUGAAGUUGGAAUCGCUAGUAAUCGUGGAUCAGCAUGCCACGGUGAAUACGUUCCCGGGCCUU
rnacentral:rRNA from 1 species